UACGGAGGAUGCGAGCGUUAUCCGGAUUUAUUGGGUUUAAAGGGUGCGCAGGCGGAUUUUUAAGUCAGUGGUCAAAUCGUGGGGCUCAACCCCAUCCAGCCGUUGAAACUGGGGAUCUAGAGUGUGCGAGAGGUAUGCGGAAUGCGUGGUGUAGCGGUGAAAUGCAUAGAUAUCACGCAGAACCCCGAUUGCGAAGGCAGCAUACCGGUGCACAACUGACGCUCAGGCACGAAAGCGUGGGUAUCGAACAGG
rnacentral:rRNA from 1 species